rfam:Picoides pubescens contig8059, whole genome shotgun sequence.
AGGGGAGCAAGCAGGCUCCCCUUCCCCCUCGGGGCUUUCUCCUUCUCAGACCAAGAUACUAACACAGAGUGCUGUGCAAGCUCUGA